rnacentral:rRNA from 1 species
UACGGAGGGUGCGAGCGUUUGUUCGGAAUCACUGGGCGUAAAGCGCGUGUAGGCGGCCCACUAAGUCUGAUGUGAAAGCCCGGGGCUCACCCCCGGAAGUGCAUUGGAAACUGGUGGACUAGAGUCCCGGAGAGGAGAGUGGAAUUCCUGGUGUAGCGGUGAAAUGCGUAGAUAUCGAGGAGGGACACCGGUGGCGAAGGCGGCAUCCUGGACCGGCAUUGACGCUGAGGAGCGAAAGCCAGGGAGCAAACGGG